rnacentral:ncRNA from 2 species
UAAUCAUCGGCCAUGGAUGGUUCCCGAGGAUGCGGAGCAUUUUCGGGAGUAAAUGGGAAUGCGAAAGGAUGGACCCAAGCAGGGCAUCCCCAUCGCAGCCGACCCCGCGACUGUAGAACGGUCAGGGUCCGCCAUCCGGCGGGCAAGAGACGGGCGGAUGGGUCGCAUGGUGCGGCCGGCGCCGGUCGAACGCCAUGCCGGAAAAGCCACUGAAGACUGUCACGAUCAGCCGGGGUGGGACGCCUCUUCUUCUACGAAUCGUCCGCCUUUUCGUGAAAGCUCCUUCGGGAAGGCGAGGCGGGCCCGUUCGCGCCUUUUUGGCGCGUGGCGCCGUGAGCCAGGAGACCUGCCGUCCAAGAAGGGCAUCC